rnacentral:lncRNA from 1 species
AGGUGCCUCAACAAUAUAAUAAUGCGCAAACCAAUACAUAUCCAGAAGCUUAUCCACAGGCACCUAAUAAUAGAGCCAAUGUUCCAAGCAAUACAUAUCCAGAAGUUUACCCGCAAUCACAUAAUGCAGCCUACUCAGCAUAUAGUGGAUAUCAACCUCAAGCCCCAACACAAAUGUUUGUUCCGAAGAGCACAACAGUGGACAGCCAGGUAUUUUGUUAUGUUGUAACUCUUAUUUUAGGUCAAGUGUCUUGUGUUAGAAUUAGUGAGUUGAAUUUUACAUUGCCAUGUUGCUCUCUAUUCUGGUCUACUAUGGAAUAUCUGAUCUAAAUAAAAUGCAAAAUUAUGAUGUGUGAUUUCUGAACAGAUAAGUGAUCCUCCAUUUACUAUUUUUUUAUUAUUAUCUGUAAGUAUACGCUACUAUUUACUUCUUGGCCCCAGUUUGCAGUUGCUAAAAUGUCCUGUGCUGAACCUGUUUCAUAAUUUGCUGUGAAAAAUAGCCGCGUUAACAGGAAUAACAGGAAAAAGCUAGUUAGCCAAACAAUAAAUAGGCUAAGCUGUUUGAAAAGCUAGAUUAUUUUAUCUAGGAAAUUAUGAUGUUUGUUUAUUUUGAUGUUCGUUUAGUG